CCUACGGGGGGCAGCAGUGGGGGAUAUUGCACAAUGGGGGGAACCCUGAUGCAGCGACGCCGCGUGGGUGAAGGAGUGCUUCGGCAUGUAAAGCCCUAUCGGCAGGGAAGAAGCAAGACGGUACCUGACUAAGAAGCCCCGGCUAACUACGUGCCAGCAGCCGCGGUAAUACGUAGGGGGCGAGCGUUAUCCGGAUUCACUGGGUGGAAAGGGAGCGUAGACGGCCAAGCAAGCCAGGGGUGAAAGCCCGGGGCCCAACCCCGGGACUGCCCUUGGAACUGCAGGGCUGGAGUGCGGGAGGGGCAGGCGGAAUGCCUGGUGUAGCGGUGAAAUGCGUAGAUAUCAGGAGGAACACCGGCGGCGAAGGCGGCCGCUGGACCGCGACUGACGUUGAGGCUCGAAAGCGUGGGGAGCGAACAGGAUUAGAUACCCGGGUAGUC
rnacentral:rRNA from 1 species